rnacentral:tRNA from 4 species
GGGCCUCUAGCUCAUGGCGGUUAGAGCUCUCGACUCAUAAUCGAGCGGUACCGGGUUCGACCCCCGGGGGGCCCACCA